rnacentral:misc_RNA from 1 species
UAAAAAAAAUCAUACAUCCUUGAUGUUGCGGAUCUGGGUAUUUCGAUUUUAUAAAUUGAUUACCUAAAAUUAAUAUAAAUAUGAUGUGUAGCAUACUAAUUAUAGUUGCUAAUCAUUUAUAUUUAUUACAUUACAACUAUUUUAGGUAGUAAUGUAUAAAUUAUAAGAA